AAGUUACAGUGAGCUAUGACCAUGCCACUGGCAUGCCAGCUUGGGCAACAGAGCAAGACCCUGUCUCUAAAAAUUAACCAAGUAAAAGAUCAUGCGGGUAGCAGUGGGUGUGGUGAGAAGUAUCAGGCAAUUGAAGCACAGAGUGGUAAUCUAAGAUAGGAGAACACAGGUGGAACAGGUUUUGGUGAGAAGGAGGAGCACAGGUGGAACAGCUUUUGGGGAGACAAUCAGCAGUUUUAUUUGGGAUAUGUGAAGUUUUUGGUGUCUGGUAGACCUCCUGGUGGAGAAGCUGUGUAGCAGGGGCCCAUAUAAGCCUGGAGUUCAGGAGAAAGCCUGGGCUGGAGGUACACGUUGGGGAGUUGCUGACAGGUAGGUUUAUUUAAAAAACGAAGUCAAAUGAAAUCACUGAGGGAGUGAGGGUAGGGAGAAAGAGAACCAAAUAUUGAGGGUGGAGGCACUCUCACUUAAGAAGAUGGGGAGAACAGGAGGAACCUGCAAAGGAGAAUGAAAAGGAGUGGAGUCAGGUGUCUCGGCAGCCAAAGGAGGAAGUGGUCGCCUCUGACAGACUGUGCCGACAGGCCAAGUAAGGCACAGCUAAAGAAAUGUGUUACUGACAAGCCUGCAGGCCACAUGGCGAGAUGGAAAGCAAGCAGUAAAGACCAAAGAAACUCGUUGAGGACAAUGGAAGAUGGGCUCAGAAGAAAAUGGAUACAGCUGAAGCUAGAUGGGUCAUGGGUGAAAGCAGGACAGGACCUCAUUCUCCAACAGAUACCAAGUCCAUAAAAGCCCUGGGGCUCAGUCAGAGCAGGGCAGAAGAGAGAGAGACUAUGGGACAACCAGCAGCAGAGAGGAACUACCCUCCCUGCUGAGAGCUUCAGAGACAUGCAGAGAUGUCUGAACAAGUUGCUGCGGAGAGGAGCCACGCUCUCCAGGGCCUCCUCUCUGCUGAGAGCAGCAGACAGUGGAAUGAGCAGUGGGCAGAGAGGAGCCACCCUCCCCAGGGCCACCUCUUUGCUGAAAGCUGAACACUCCAUGGGAUGACCUGCCUACAGAGAGAAGCUACCCACUGUGGGUCUCCUCUGAGCUGUUCUAACACUAAAUAAACCUCCUUUUCACCUUCUUCA
rnacentral:lncRNA from 1 species